rnacentral:rRNA from 1 species
AACUUCGGGAAAAGGAUUGGCUCUAAGGGUUGGGUACGUUGGGCCUUGGGUGGAAGCCUCUGGAGCAGGUUGGCACUAGCCUUUACGGGCCGGCGCCUUCCAGCACCGGAGUGUGGACGCCCUUGGCAGGCUUCGGCCGUCCGGCGUACGCUUAACAACCAACUUAGAACUGGUACGGACAAGGGGAAUCUGACUGUCUAAUUAAAACAUAGCAUUGCGAUGGCCAGAAAGUGGUGUUGACGCAAUGUGAUUUCUG